GCCACGUGGCACAAUACCCGUCAAGCCUACACAUCAACUCAGCAUAGCUAUACGUUGACUUUGGGUCAACGCGGGCCGCGUAAGACCUGCUCUCAUUUGACGCGGGCCGCGAGAGAGUCCAGUAUCAGCACUAUAUAAAGGAGCCAUCGGGUUGAACUAGAAUUCGUUCAUUCUUCGAUUCUCAAUCUCAAUUUCUGAUAGUAGAGAUAAUAAGCGGGUAUUAUACCCCCUAAUUAGCGAAGCUCUGCCUCGUUAUUAUAACCAGGAAGUCACGAAGGAAAGCCCUAUAAUAGCAAUGCAUCACGUUGGAUGGACUUUCUUCAGUGUUACUGUGCUCCGCGGAUUGUGUUAAUUGAUGAAGUGAUGUUACAAGAUGAAACAAGAUUUAAGUGGACUUAGAAACACACAUAGAUUAAACUAUUUUGUUGUUGUACAUUUGAAACAAUGUUGUUUAUGUUGAUUUCUUGUAUUAUACUUUAGCAAUUUAUGAAAUCCAAUUU
rnacentral:lncRNA from 1 species